rnacentral:rRNA from 1 species
UUCGGGAAACCGAGGCUAAUACCGCAUAACACCGAGAGGUCAAAGGAGCAAUUCGCUUGAAGAGGGGGUCGCGGCUGAUUAGCUAGUUGGUAGGGUAAUGGCCUACCAAGGCAAUGAUCAGUAUCCGGCCUGAGAGGGCGCACGGACACACUGGAACUGAAACACGGUCCAGACUCCUACGGGAGGCAGCAGUGGGGAAUUUUGCACAAUGGGGGAAACCCUGAUGCAGCAACGCCGCGUGGAGGAUGAAGCCCCUUGGGGCGUAAACUCCUUUCGAUCGGGACGAUUAUGACGGUACCGGAAGAAGAAGCACCGGCUAACUCUGUGCCAGCAGCCGCGGUAAUACAGAGGGUGCAAGCGUUGUUCGGAAUUAUUGGGCGUAAAGGGUGCGUAGGCGGUGCGGUAAGUCUUUUGUGAAAUCUCCGGGCUCAACUCGGAGCCUGCAGGAGAAACUGCCGUGCUUGA